rnacentral:tRNA from 1 species
UCCGGGAUCGUCUAACGGUAGGACGUCCGCCUCUGGAGCGGAAAGUUGGGGUUCGAAUCCCUGUCCCGGAA